rnacentral:rRNA from 1 species
UUUGAACGCUGGCGGCAGGCUUAACACAUGCAAGUCGAGCGGGGGAAGGUAGCUUGCUACCGGACCUAGCGGCGGACGGGUGAGUAAUGCUUAGGAAUCUGCCUAUUAGUGGGGGACAACAUCUCGAAAGGGAUGCUAAUACCGCAUACGUCCUACGGGAGAAAGCAGGGGAUCUUCGGACCUUGCGCUAAUAGAUGAGCCUAAGUCGGAUUAGCUAGUUGGUGGGGUAAAGGCCUACCAAGGCGGCGAUCUGUAGCGGGUCUGAGAGGAUGGUCCGCCACACUGGGACUGAGACACGGCCCAGACUCCUACGGGAGGCAGCAGUGGGGAAUAUUGGACAAUGGGCGCAAGCCUGAUCCAGCCAUGCCGCGUGUGUGAAGAAGGCCUUAUGGUUGUAAAGCACUUUAAGCGAGGAGGAGGCUACUUUAGAUAAUACCUAGAGAUAGUGGACGUUACUCGCAGAAUAAGCACCGGCUAACUCUGUGCCAGCCGCCGCAGUAA